GUGCUUCUCAGGCUCCAGAUCUCCCGUACAGGCGCCUUUGCUCACCGGCCGCGGCAGCCAUCUUGGAUUGAGUGUGGGGAGCAGCGCUUCUGCGCAGGGAGGGAGCUCCUGAGCUGAGGCGUUGGCUUGGCCCUUACACGCGGGGAACUCUGGCCCGAAGCGCCGGGGGCACGUCCUCUGCAUGUGGCCUGCUGGGAGCAAGUGAAACCAGACUGAGCACAACGGAAAAAAAGGACUCCCUGCUGGAGCAUACCCUCUCAGCUGUGUCAAGAGACUUCCCUGCUGGGAUUUUAGAGAUACAGAUGAAACCAAACAGAUACAGCCUCACGUGCUUCUCCCAAGAAACGGUUGACUGUGGCCUCAGGACUCUGUCAGGGUCACAGUGACGAGAUGGCUAUCAGUGAGGAAGGGGGCUCUCAUCAGACAAGAAUCUUCCAGAACCUUGAUCUUGGACUACUUGGGCUCCUGAACUGAGCCGCAAGCAACACAAGGGCAGAGAUCAUGGCUGUCGUGUUCACCCAGUCACCAGUGCAGAGCCUUAGAACAGAGUACGUGCUCCAUAAAACAAAUUGAAAGAAUGGAUAAGUCCCAUUAAAGAGAGAUAAUGACCUGAGAUGAGUUUUGUGGGUCACCUCUCCAGAUACAGGUCACAGAAUAAUCAAUCAAUUUGGAACAUGCUGCAUAUCUUCUCUGUUUUGGAGGUUUCGGUGUAUGGAUCCUCCUGACCUGAUGGAACGUCACGUCUUGGUAAAUCUACAACAUUCCAGUCAUGAUGCGAAGUGCUUUCCAUGUACUCUCCAAGUUUAUUUUCACAGCAGUCCUAUCAGAUCCUGUGAACCUGUCACCUUACAUAGUGGAAGAAAUUCUUCAGAUGGGAUAAAAUGAAGGAUUUUGUGGAGGAGGGAUUAUCCUGGUGAGCUUGAUGAAACCACAAAAGUCCUAAUAAGAGGGAGGCUGGAGGUCAGAGAACAGAGAAGAUGUUGUACUGCUGGCUUUGAGGAUGAAGGAGGGGAUCACGACCACAGAAUACAGGGGCUCCAGAAGCUGAACAAAACAAAGGGAUUGUUCCCAAGAGGCUCCUGAAGGAAUAUGGGCCUGUGGACCUGUUUUUAGACUCUUCACCUCCAGAUCUGAAGCUACAGGUGAUGUAUCCACAAAUAUGACUAAAUCAAGAAUGAGAACACUGUGGAAUCCAGUCUCUCUCUUCCUUGCUAACUUCGAAGAAGCAAGCUGCAAAGAUGGAGAGUGCAUCAUGGCAAGAAAUUAGGGGACAGCCUCCAGCAUCACCUGGCAAGAGCUGGGACCAGUUUUGCAGGAGUCUACAAAGAACCGUUUCCAAAAACCAUGCGGACUGGAAAGAGGAUUUUCUCACUGUCAAACUUCAGGGACAGACAAACUAAUCAAUGGAACAGAAUAUAGAACUCUUCAGGCAGACUCCCUAAUAUAUGGAAAUCUAAUGACAGAGAUGAUACCACAGAGCCAUGAGGAAGGACUGGAUCUUACAAUUAACAGUGCUGGGAGAGUCAUUCGUAUGGAUAAAAAAAGACCUUGAGUUUUAUAUCAUACCAUUAUACAAAAAUCAAUUCCAGUUUGAAGCAACGCAAAGCAGGAGAAGUCAGCAUAGGAUGAUAAAAAUCCAAAUGAAAAGUUUAAAGUUGGAUACAAGAGAUUAUGUAUUGUCUACCCUAAGUACUGUGAAAGAGAAUGACCUGAAUAGCAAGGGAAAUCUCUUCCACCACAUGAGGUUGCAGCAAGAAGACGAACAUAUAUGGGCCAGGAAGAGGGCUCCCAUAAAUCUGCUGGUGCCUUGAUCUUGGACUUCCAGCCUCGAAAACUGACCCAUGAUGUGGAAAUCUCUGUUCAAGAUGUGAGGUACGGCAGUAAACAGAAGACACGUUAAGUCUGUCUUGGUGGGACAAAUGUGCUGGUGGGAAAGACAAGCAUCAAGCAAAUAAUCAUAAGGUACUAUUUAAGUCCAUAGACAGAAUGGAUAAAAGAUGACUUACUUUUGCUGGGAAGCAGAGGUGCCAAAGUCAAGUCUGAAGACAGCUCUACGUCUCCACCACAGCAUCCUGCCCACCCGUCCAGUCACUCCUGGGGAGCCCAGAGCGCCAUUCUUGACACUUGCCAGAAAGACCAUGUGAGGUCACAGCAAGAAGGUGGCUGUCUACAAGCCAGGAAGAGAGCCCUCACCAGAAUCUGAAGGAGCCAGAACCUUGAUCUUGGACUUUCCAGCCUCCAGAACUGGUAAGCAACGCUCCUAAAUGAUGCUUCUCACCUGGCAAAGAAGUGGUCAGUUCCCAUACAAGCCUGGGCAGAGACAUGACAGCCCACCUACAAAUACACGUGUCUUGUUCAGAGGGUGGCUGUAAAUCAGGAUCCCCUGGUAUUUGGCUUCCGCAAAAGGCUGGUCCAUGUUCUGCUUCCUGGAACCUGUGAGGGUGACCUUAUUUGGAAAAAAGCUCUUCGAAGAUGUAAAAGUUGAAGUCUUGAGAGAUCGUGUUGGAUUAUCCGGGGGGGGGGGUGCUAAAUGACCUAUAACCAUGUCCUUGUAAGAGACACACCGCAGAGAAGUGACGUGAAGAUGGAGGCAGAGAUGGGAGGGACAAGCCGAGGUGCCAAGGAAUGUGGACAGGCACCAGAACCCGGAGGAGACUCCCCUAGAGUCUGCAAGGACUGGAUUUCAGACUUCUGGCCUCCAGGAUUCUGGGGGAAUAAAUUCCUGUUGCUCUGAGCCGCCCAGUUUGUGAUAAUUUGUUACGGCAGCCCAAGGGAAAUAACAGACCUCAAGAGACGGUAAAGAUUCCAUGGCAGCCUGCACCCGGCGCAAAGAAGAAUCUCCACAGGGAGCUUCCCGCAAGACAAAUACUCUUUUGCCCUGGUUUCUCUGCUGCUUCUGCAGCGGAGGGAACAGAAGACACUGCUGGCCCCGGCAUCGAUGAGACCCAGGAGAUAGGUCUGCCUGAUUCUACAAUUUAGUAGUCUAAGUCUGCUUGGCUUCUAGAACUGCCUAGUCAUUCCAACUAAGUCUUUUUCAAUUAUUUGCAUUCUCUAUCUCUUUUAUUUUCUCAGAUUGUUCUGUUCAAAACUUGAACAGAAAAGGCAUCCCAACAUAUCGUGCAGGUCUUCUGCAUUACCUCAAAUAGCAGUGGCAAAGAUGGGAGCAGGGACUUCAUGGGCUCUGAGAAGUCUGAGUCCCACCAGGCUGUUGCCUUGUAGAUGCCAGUUGUCCUGAAGUCACGAUCUAUGAACUUAAACACGGUUGGCAGAAAUGUUCCCACAAGAGCUUAGUUUUGGCAUUCUGCAUUUACCAUGGACAGGAAAUAAAGCUUUUGUCUCCAUAUUGGCUUCAUUCUCACAGAGACUCUCUGGAGAGCUUACCUCCAAACAAUGUUUAGGAAUUUGGAUGGUGGCAGCUCCAGACACCCUGUGAACUCUAUUUAGAUUUUGGCCUCCGCAAAAUCUUGUGAACAUUUUGGUUUUAAUGCCGCUGUAUUUGCGCACACUGAUUCUGUCAUAGAAUUGCCUAGGCCUGAGAGAACUUCCUUCCAAGAAGGUAUCUACUUAUGUCGUCAUUAAAUCCAAAGUCCGUUUGAAGUCCUGUGGGGAAAGUGUCUUUUGAGGUAGGAAGCAGCCACAUAAAUUUAAGGUGGGUUCCCUCUCUUAGCUGUGAAGGUAGUUCAAGGCAUAUCAAAGGAAGGGUGUUUGAUCCAGCCAUUCGUCCCACGUUUCCCAGUCAGAUGAAUUAUUUCAGCUCCAGAGGGGCAACGUGAGUGAAGGAGUCUGAAAAAGUCCUCUCCCUGCCAUGGGCAUCAGAGGUGAGAUGUGAUGCCCAGAACACAUCCCACAUUGCUUCUUGGUAAAAUUCAAUUUUCUUCUUCAAAGGUAACAAAUAGAAGCAAGGUGCCACAGGUAAGACAUUUGGUAAAAUGUCUUCUUGCCUCUUAGCAGCAUCUGGAGAAGUGUUUGCACAAAUACAGUGUCUGCAUAUACAAAUACAUGUGAAAAAGAUUCAUAUACUUUUGGACAACUUCCCAAUUGAUGUGCUCCUCUUUUAAAAAAGUAAAAAUGAAACCCAAACCCAAAAGAAACCUAUGGAGAUCAACUAGAUGUGUGAAAGGCAUUUUUCCCAAAACAAAGCAAACAAACAAACACAAUUCUCAUCCCAGCUUGGGCUGGAAAGGUAUGUGUGCUGGCAUGUGGACUGGGGAACAUGUUUCCCAAAGAGUGAAAAGUGAAUGUCUAGUACCUAUUAUUUCAGUAGCUACUGAAGGAUGAAAAGUUUGAGAAGGAAAAAAAACUGUGAACGAUUUAACUGCCUUGUGUGUCUAUGUCUGGCUGGCCUCCAGGAGGCUGUUAAGCAGACGCUAGGAGCGGAAUUUCCAAGUGGGAAUGCAAAUCAGGGGGUCGCUGGGCUACAUGGGAAGUCGGCAACUUGUGAAGAGAGGUGCAUGGCAGAGGGGUUUAGGGCUGUGACUGGAAUCAGUUGGCUUCAGUCAAAUUUUGGACCUCCUACGUAUUAUUAAUCUUGAGCAAGUUCCUUAAUAGCUUUGUGCCUCAGUCUCCUUGUGUGUAAAAUGGUGAUAAUAUUGGGCCUACCUCCUGAGUUUUAAAAAUGAAAUGAAUUGCAGUUUCUCAGGCACUGGGAUGGGUGCCCCCACUUAAGAAACACCACCUACUAUGUAACUCUCAGAUCUACCCAGGCUACUGUUGAAUGGGACAUGGUAGAAAGAGGCUGAGGUCAAGUACUGGAAAGCUGCUGGGGCUGCAUUUGGAUUCUGGUUGUGCCACUGACUACCAGUAACUACUAACUGCAUGCUGCUUAACUUCUUUGAACCUCAGCUUUCUCUUUUGUAAAAUGUGAAAAACUAUAGCCCAUGUCCACAGCGUUGUCAUGAGGACUAUACGAAUACAAUGUUUCUAGAAGUCCUAUCAUGCGGUAAAUCCUCAAUAAAUAUUUAUACUCCUUUUUCACCUUCUUCCCUGUCCCAACUCUCAAUAUUCUUCAUGCUUCCUCAUGAUUAAAUCUACUCUAAAAAACUAAAAUAUCACUACACUUACCAAGGGAUUGUACUUCAUCUAGAAUCCAUGCCAUAAGGGAACUAAUGAAAUACAUCAAGGCAUAAGGAGAAAGGCAGCCAAAACCCCCCGACCUUCUGUGCUCCUGAAGUCCUAUCUUGAAGGCUGACUUAUCUAGAAGUACCACAUUCAAUCACAAAUGUUUAUCUGUACUAGAACAGUGCUGGUGGUCCAGGGAGUUACAAUAAAGAGAAAAUAACACUUUCUCUGGCUACAGAGAACUUAGAGUAUAGAAGAAGAGAGAAGAAAAGUAAAGUUCACAAGUAGCUCUAAUGCAUAAUGUCUAUGAUUCAUCUACUGACAGAUGUACAAACCAAAUGUUACUGGGUCUCAGAAUAGUAAGUGGGCCUAUCUGGUUUGCCCAUAUGGAAAAACUUCAAGACCAAGGUAAUAUCUGAUCUGGUCUUUGAGGCUGAGUAUUGGAUGGGAAGUUAUAUCAGCAGAACAAGGUCAUACUAAACCAAUGGCCAUGGUUAUGAGCUAACAUAUGUCUCCCUCAAAAUACCUUAGAAUGAGAUUGUAUUUGGAGACAGGGUCUUCAAAGAGGUAAUUAAAUCAAAAUAAGGUCAUAUGAGUGGGUCCUAUUCCAGUGUGACUAAUGUCCUUAUAAGAAGAGAGAAUUAGAACCCAGACACACACAGAGGAAAGAGCAUAAGAUGACACGGGAGAAGAUGACCCUUGCAAGCUAAGGAGAGAGGUCUUAAAAGAAACUAACCCUGCCGACACCUUGAUUUCAGACUUCCAGCCUCUGGAACUAUAAGGAAAUAAACUUCUGUUUUUUAAAUCACUCCAUCUGUGUUGCUUUGCUAUGGCAACCCUAGUAAAUUAAACAAUCAUCAACAGCAAAGAUGAGACAUGGAGCAGGAAAUAUAUUCAAGGAAAGUGCAGUUUCCCCUUAAAAGAGGAGUAUUUGGAGAUGAGAGCAAAAAGAGGGGAUUUAAGUGAAAGAAUGGAGAACCUUGAACAGAAACUACAGACCUGGAUUUUAUUUGGUAUGUGGAGAAUCACUUAAGAAUUUUGAAAGGAGAGUGAAUUAUUAGAUCUACCCUCAGAAAGACGAGACCCGUGGGGUGGAUUAGAGUAAGAGGGACUGGGAGACAUAGAGCAGCUGGGAGUCUUUAGGCAACACUUGUACAAGAUACUGAGUUGCAAGUUUGAGAGGAGGUGGUGGAUGUAGCAGCAAGAAUGGAAUAAGAGAUGGAAUUGACUGGACGCAGUGAUGGAAGGGAGUAGUGUGACCAGGAGGGAAUAGUGUGACCAGGAGAACAUCUGAGGAGGCAGGUCAGAAGGUCAUUUGGAGCAAAGUUCAUGAUUUUAGAUUUAUCUGGCGAAGUGUGAAGUAAAAACCAUGCAGUGACCAGAGACAAUUUAGAUCUGGAGCUCAGGAUAGAAAGCAAAGCUCAAAGGAAGAUGUAGAAGCCCUUUGAAGAGCAGAACAAUCACCACCACAGCAGUGGAUGGACAGGCUAACAUGGAAAGCCGAAGCAUACCCAUAGCUGGGAGCUAAUAAGGAUACAGGACUUCAACGUGAUUAGGAUCGUCAACCUUGCUCAGAUUUUCCUUACAUGGAGUUCCCGUUGCGGUGCAGUGGUUCACGAAUCCGACUAGGAACC